AACGAACGCUGGCGGCGCGCCUAAUACAUGCAAGUCGAGCGAGAAGACGUAGCAAUACGUUUGUAAAGCGGCGAACGGGUGAGGAAUACAUGGGUAACCUACCCUCGAGUGGGGAAUAACUAGCCGAAAGGUUAGCUAAUACCGCGUACGCUCCUUGGACUUCGGUUCAGGGAGGAAAGCGAUACCGUGGGUAUCGCGCUCUUGGAUGGGCUCAUGUCCUAUCAGCUUGUUGGUGAGGUAACGGCUCACCAAGGCUUCGACGGGUAGCUGGUCUGAGAGGACGAUCAGCCACACUGGCACUGCGACACGGGCCAGACUCCUACGGGAGGCAGCAGUAAGGAAUAUGCGCAA
rnacentral:rRNA from 1 species